GACAGAGGGUGCAAACGUUGUUCGGAAUUACUGGGCGUAAAGCGCGUGUAGGCUGCUUGGAAAGUCGGGUGUGAAAGCCCUGGGCUCAACCCAGGAAGUGCACUCGAAACUUCCGAGCUCGAGUUCUGGAGAGGAUAGCGGAAUUCUCGGUGUAGAGGUGAAAUUCGUAGAUAUCGAGAGGAACACCGGUGGCGAAGGCGGCUAUCUGGACAGAAACUGGCGCUGAGACGCGAAAGCGUGGGGAGCAAACAGG
rnacentral:rRNA from 1 species